AGGAUAAACGCUGGCGGCGUGCCUAAUGCAUGCAAGUCGCACGGAGUGUCUCUUCGGAGGCAUUGAGUGGCGAACGGGUGAGGAACGCGUGGACAACCUACCCCGGCGUGGGGGAUACCCGCCAGAAAUGGCGGCUAAUACCGCGUACGGUCGUCGAACGAAGGGUUUGACGAAGAAAGCAGUAAUGCGCGCUGGGAGGGGUCUGCGGCCGAUUAGCUUGUUGGCGGGGUAAUGGCUCACCAAGGCGAUGAUCGGUAGCUGGUCUGAGAGGAUGAUCAGCCACACGGGGACUGAGAGACGGCCCCGACUCCUACGGGAGGCAGCAGCAAGGAAUUUUCCGCAAUGGGGGCAACCCUGACGGAGCAACGCCGCGUGACGGAUGACGCCUCUUGGGGUGUAAACGUCUUUUGCCGAGGGAGAGAAUGGACGGUACUCGGCGAAUAAGGACCGGCUAACUACGUGCCAGCAGCCGC
rnacentral:rRNA from 1 species